AAAUUGAAGAGUUUGAUCAUGGCUCAGAUUGAACGCUGGCGGCAGGCCUAACACAUGCAAGUCGAACGGUAACAGGAAGAAGCUUGCUUCUUUGCUGACGAGUGGCGGACGGGUGAGUAAUGUCUGGGAAACUGCCUGAUGGAGGGGGAUAACUACUGGAAACGGUAGCUAAUACCGCAUAACGUCGCAAGACCAAAGAGGGGGACCUUCGGGCCUCUUGCCAUCGGAUGUGCCCAGAUGGGAUUAGCUAGUAGGUGGGGUAACGGCUCACCUAGGCGACGAUCCCUAGCUGGUCUGAGAGGAUGACCAGCCACACUGGAACUGAGACACGGUCCAGACUCCUACGGGAGGCAGCAGUGGGGAAUAUUGCACAAUGGGCGCAAGCCUGAUGCAGCCAUGCCGCGUGUAUGAAGAAGGCCUUCGGGUUGUAAAGUACUUUCAGCGGGGAGGAAGGGAGUAAAGUUAAUACCUUUGCUCAUUGACGUUACCCGCAGAAGAAGCACCGGCUAACUCCGUGCCAGCAGCCGCGGUAAUACGGAGGGUGCAAGCGUUAAUCGGAAUUACUGGGCGUAAAGCGCACGCAGGCGGUUUGUUAAGUCAGAUGUGAAAUCCCCGGGCUCAACCUGGGAACUGCAUCUGAUACUGGCAAGCUUGAGUCUCGUAGAGGGGGGUAUUAGAAUUCCAGGUGUAGCGGUGAAAUGCGUAGAGAUCUGGAGGAAUACCGGUGGCGAAGGCGGCCCCCUGGACGAAGACUGACGCUCAGGUGCGAAAGCGUGGGGAGCAAACAGGAUUAGAUACCCUGGUAGUCCACGCCGUAAACGAUGUCGACUUGGAGGUUGUGCCCUUGAGGCGUGGCUUCCGGAGCUAACGCGUUAAGUCGACCGCCUGGGGAGUACGGCCGCAAGGUUAAAACUCAAAUGAAUUGACGGGGGCCCGCACAAGCGGUGGAGCAUGUGGUUUAAUUCGAUGCAACGCGAAGAACCUUACCUGGUCUUGACAUCCACGGAAGUUUUCAGAGAUGAGAAUGUGCCUUCGGGAACCGUGAGACAGGUGCUGCAUGGCUGUCGUCAGCUCGUGUUGUGAAAUGUUGGGUUAAGUCCCGCAACGAGCGCAACCCUUAUCCUUUGUUGCCAGCGGUCCGGCCGGGAACUCAAAGGAGACUGCCAGUGAUAAACUGGAGGAAGGUGGGGAUGACGUCAAGUCAUCAUGGCCCUUACGACCAGGGCUACACACGUGCUACAAUGGCGCAUACAAAGAGAAGCGACCUCGCGAGAGCAAGCGGACCUCAUAAAGUGCGUCGUAGUCCGGAUUGGAGUCUGCAACUCGACUCCAUGAAGUCGGAAUCGCUAGUAAUCGUGGAUCAGAAUGCCACGGUGAAUACGUUCCCGGGCCUUGUACACACCGCCCGUCACACCAUGGGAGUGGGUUGCAAAAGAAGUAGGUAGCUUAACCUUCGGGAGGGCGCUUACCACUUUGUGAUUCAUGACUGGGGUGAAGUCGUAACAAGGUAACCGUAGGGGAACCUGCGGUUGGAUCACCUCCUUA
rnacentral:rRNA from 1 species